rnacentral:lncRNA from 1 species
UGCAAUUCAGUUUCCACUGUGCCCGCUCAAGAGGUCAUCUAAUCAAGAGAUGGGCAGAAAGAUCUCAUCUCUGGCAUAAUGCAAGGGCUGCUGUUUCGGCUCCGUUUGGUGUUAAGUGAAAGACGGCUGCACACACAUACAGACACAGAGCUGCUGCUGGGCAGGGCUGAGCACGGCCUGACGGACCGCACAGAGCCACGGCAAACACACACGGACUGAAUGCCAAAAGCUGGAACGGAAAGGCACUGCCGUGCCCUUGGCAGUGGGCAGCUGUGCUGCUGUGUGUGGGACAUGGAGCCCUCCCUGGCCAGCCUGCCCAGACACACACCGUGAUGGGGAAGGCCGGGAAUGUGAUACAGGCUGCAGCCCAGCAUUGCUCAUGGGGAGGGAAGCGGUGGCUCUGGGUGAGGAUAACUGUGGCAGUUAUAUGACUAAUCCCGGCAUCUAUGGAUGUUUUCCCCUGUG